UUUUCUGAAUUUAUAGAAAAUGAUGCCUGCCCGGUGAGAAAUUUUCUUAAACGGCCGCAGUAUUUUGACUGUGCAAAGGUAGCAUAAUAAUUUGUCUUAUAAUUGAAGACUGGAAUGAAUGGCUUUAUGAGGAUAAAACUGUUUCUUUUAUAUUAAUUAGAAAUUAUUUUAAAGGUUAAAAAUCCUUUAUAGUAAAGAGGGACGAGAAGACCCUAUUAAGCUUAAAUAUAUAGUUUUUAUUUACAUAAAUUAUUAAUAAUUUACCUUAAUAACUUUUAUUUUGGUUGGGGCGACCAAGGAACUAUAUUAACUUCCUAUAAUAAAUUAUAAUAUGUUUUAAAGACCCAAAAUAUUUUGUUUGAUAAACUUAGUUACUAUAGGGAUAACAGCGUUAUUUUUUUUGAAAGUUCUUAUUAAAGAAAAAGAUUGCGACCUCGAUGUUGGUUUAAGGUAACCUCAAGGUGCAGCAGCUUUGAAGGUGAGUCUGUUCGACUUUUAAUUC
rnacentral:rRNA from 1 species